GCAUGACUCUCGGUAACAGAUAUCUCGGCCCUUACCAUGAUGAAGAACGUAGCGAAAUGCGAUACUUAGUGUGAAUUGCAGAAUCCCGUGAAUUAUCGAGUCUUUGAAUGCAAGUUGCGCCCGAGGCCUUGACCGAGGGCACGUCUGCCUGGGCAUCGCAU
rnacentral:rRNA from 1 species